rnacentral:rRNA from 1 species
GACGAACGCUGGCGGCGUGCUUAACACAUGCAAGUCGAACGGAAAGGCCCUGCUUUUGUGGGGUGCUCGAGUGGCGAACGGGUGAGUAACACGUGAGUAACCUGCCCUUGACUUUGGGAUAACUUCAGGAAACUGGGGCUAAUCCCGGACAGGAGCUCCCGCUGCAUGGUGGGGGUUGGAAAGUUUCGGCGGGUGGGGAUGGACUCGCGGCUUAUCAGCUUGUUGGUGGGGUAGUGGCUUACCAAGGCUUUGACGGGUAGCCGGCCUGAGAGGGUGACCGGCCACAUUGGGACUGAGAUACGGCCCAGACUCCUACGGGAGGCAGCAGUGGGGAAUAUUGCACAAUGGGCGGAAGCCUGAUGCAGCAACGCCGCGUGCGGGAUGACGGCCUUCGGGUUGUGAACCGCUUUCGCCUGUGACGAAGCGUGAGUGACGGUAAUGGGUAAAGAAGCACCGGCUAACUACGUG